CCAUCAUUGUUCAUGAGCUUAAAGAUGUGCACACAGGUUUUGCUAUGUGAAUGGGCGCAAUCUACUGCCUUAACCUCGAGUACCCCCAAAACUUGAAGUACGCCUUUGAAUUCCUUCAGAGAGUCAGCAUGAAUGUUAAACCAGACCAGUGCUCAGCAAGAAUCCAUGGUUUCAGAAAUAAACUGCUCAGAUACCGCCUCUAAGCAAAACUAUACACAUUUCUA